UACGUAGGGACCAAGCGUUGUUCGGAUUUACUGGGCGUAAAGGGCGCGUAGGCGGCUUGUCAAGUCGAUUGUGAAAUCUCCGGGCUUAACCCGGAACGGUCAAUUGAUACUGACGUGCUAGAGUGCAGAAGGGGCAACUGGAAUUCUCGGUGUAGCGGUGAAAUGCGUAGAUAUCAAGAGGAACACCUGAGGUGAAGACGGGUUGCUGGGCUGACACUGACGCUGAGGCACGAAAGCUAGGGUAGCAAACGGG
rnacentral:rRNA from 1 species